UUCGCUCAGAAGUCAGAGCACCAGCAAACACCAUCCAGCUGCGACCCUCUGCAUCCUUGGCAGGGAUGGUGGGGACCAAUGGUUCUGAGGGAAAUCUAGACCUGAACAUAAAUCACAGAAAAAUCGAGACUCGAGUGGGAGCUCCGCCGAGUCAGCCUCGUGUCAUGCCUCCCCGUGUGUAUGGGCUGGAUUUACUACCUACUUCUGGUCAACAGAACAUGGUGUUACUUCUGAGACCAGGCUACAAAUGACGAGGCCCACACAGUGAGAAACUGAGGACAGCCUCCAGCCACCAGUCUGCCAGGAACUGAAUCCUGCCAACAACCACAUGAGUGAGCUUGGCCAUGGGUCCUUCCCCAGCCAAGCCUGGAGAUGACCACAGCCUUGGCGACACCUUGAUUAUGGCCUCAUGGGACACCCAGAGCCAGAAGACCCAACUAAACUGUGCCCAGACCAAAAAAAAAAAAAAAUUUUUUUUAAUAAAAUAAAAUAAACUGUGCCCAGACCA